AAUGAACGCUGGCGGCGUGCUUAACACAUGCAAGUCGAGCGAGGCCUGGGGGGCAACUCCCAGAGUCGAGCGGCGGACGGGUGAGUAACACGUGGGUAACCUGCCCGGAAGUGGGGAAGUACCUCGGGGAAACCCGAGCUAAUACCGCAUGACAUCUCCGGGACGAAAGUCCUGGCGAUCAAAGCGGGGUCGCAAGAUCUCGCGCUACCGGAUGGG
rnacentral:rRNA from 1 species